AGCAGCCGCGGUAAUUCCAGCUCCAAUAGCGUAUAUUAAAGUUGUUGCAGUUAAAAAGCUCGUAGUUGAAUUUCGGAAUCUGUCCGUCGGUCGGGCUUCACUGUCCGUACUGGUGUGGUGGGUUCUUACCUUCUGAAUAACCAGCAUGCCAUUCAUUUGGUGCGCUGGGGAAGCAGGACUAUUACCUUGAAAAAAUUAGAGUGCUCAAAGCAGGCUAGUGCCUGAAUACAUUAGCAUGGAAUAAUAAAAUAGGACGGCAUGGUUCUAUUUUGUUGGUUUCUAGGAUCACCGUAAUGAUUAAUAGGGAUAGUUGGGGGCAUUAGUAUUCAAUUGUCAGAGGUGAAAUUCUUGGAUUUAUUGAAGACUAACUUCUGCGAAAGCAUUUGCCAAGGAUGUUUUCAUUAAUCAAGAACGAAAGUUAGGGGAUCGAAGACGAUCAGAUACCGUCGUAGUCUUAACCAUAAACUAUGCCGACUAGGGAUCGGACGAUGUUAAUUUUUUAAUGACUCGUUCGGCG
rnacentral:rRNA from 1 species